rnacentral:lncRNA from 1 species
AGAGAUUCAAGGAUCGCAAUCAAUGAGGGCUGUCACACUAGAUGCCUCAGACAUCAGAACACAUGUGCCACUUAGAAGGAAAUUGGGGUUCAUCGUGUUUAGUCCUGAAUGGGAAGAAUUGUGGACCAAGACUUGAGAGUCUUGAUGGUAGCAAGAGUUUAUCUUCUUACAUUCUAAGAGCAUCGCAGGAGAGGCAGCAGAGAUUAUAAGCAUCGGAAGACAAAGAUAACUAUUUCGAGAUAUCAGUGAUGUAUGACAGUGACGCUUCAGCCAAGAAAUCUCAACAAUAUGGUUCCCUAAAUGGACCAGCACAAUGCCAAGAGCAGUUGACAUGCCAGUACAGAUAGAAAAGGAAGUUCAUUUCCUUAUCUUUUCAUUUUUUUAAGCAUAUGCUUUGUGGCUGUUAGUGAAAUACUAU